rnacentral:rRNA from 1 species
UACGUAGGGUGCAAGCGUUUAAUCGGAAUACUGGGCGUAAAGCGUGCGCAGGCGGCUUUGCAAGACAGAUGUGAAAUCCCCGGGCUCAACCUGGGAACUGCAUUUGUGACUGCAUGGCUAGGAGUACGGUAGAGGGGAUGGAAUUCCGCGUGUAAGCAGUGAAAUGCGUAGAUAUGCGGAGGAACACCGAUGGCGAAGGCAGCCCCUGGGCCAAUACUGACGCU